UUCAGGCUAGAAGUGUUGGACUGGGUUUUGUGAGGUAAACCGAAUGAUCGGAACUCGCAGGCGCUAUGCUACCUCUCCCAUCCUCAAACUUAAAUAUGUGGGAAGCCGUUGGUGCUCAACUGAGCGUCGGGCGUUCGAAUGCGUCAACACUAGUGGGCCGUUUUUGCUAGUCAGUAGUGGCGAUGCGGGAUGAACCG
rnacentral:ncRNA from 1 species